rfam:Jeotgalibacillus campisalis strain SF-57 contig00017, whole genome shotgun sequence.
UGGUAAAAGAAGAAGCGGCCCGCUUCUCACCUGACUGGCGCAACAUGCAGCUGACAGGUAACACGUGAUCCUAUAAGACAUUGUCUGUAUAGUAAGCACUGAUGCGGGAAACAGCUUAGUUUCCGGCUUUUUUUGUGUGAU